CCCACCUGCGUGAUUUCAGAUGUGUCAAACCGGGCAUUUCUGAAAAUCAAAAACUCAUCUUCUCCCUGAGGUUAGAUAAAUAUGCCUCCUAUGUCUCCGUGGCACUUGCACAGAAAGCCUCUGGGAUAAUCAGGACUCUGUGGCCACAGUCACCUGCUGAACUGCUGGACAGCCCCGCAGAGCUCUGCUGGUGCCCUUCCUCUCCCUCGGGCGCCCGUGAGUUCCCUCAGCCUCUCCCAUCGCCCUCACGCUUACGUGGCCGGAUCCUCCUUGAAAAUCCAAUAUUUAGCUUUAUUCUUGACGUCCCUCUUUGAGACCAAGACGAUUGUGGAGCUGACUCGUACCUGGAGUGAUUACAAAAUACCACAGUCAUAACAACGAGAGCCAAAAGAAGUAUCGACCAUCGUUUUACCUUUCAACUGCUGAGGUCACCUACAACACCGUGCAAGAAAGCACAGUCGUGCAUUCACGAGUUGACUGUACCAACCUCUGUAAAAAUUUAGGAAUGAGCACAUCCGAGUAAAUGGAUACUUCUUUAUCUCACAGAGUAAAAUCAAGCAUUUUCUACUUUAAAAUUAUUUCUGGGGCGCCUGGGUGGCGCAGUCAGU